rnacentral:rRNA from 1 species
CCUACGGGGGGCAGCAGUGGGGAAUAUUGCACAAUGGGGAAAACCCUGAUGCAGCAACGCCGCGGGAGCGAUGAAGGACUUCGGGUCGUAAAGCUCUGUCCUAAGGGAAGAAUACUGACGGUACCUUAGGAGGAAGCCCCGGCUAACUACGUGCCAGCAGCCGCGGUAAUACGUAGGGGGCUAGCGGUAUCCGGAAUUACUGGGCGUAAAGGGUGCGUAGGCGGCCCUUCAAGUCAGAGGUGAAAGGCGACGGCUCAACCGUCAGAAGCCUUUGAAAAUGUAGGGCUGGAGUGCAGGAGAGGAGAGUGGAAUUCCCAGUGUAGCGGUGAAAUGCGUAGAUAUUGGGAGGAACUCCAGUUGCGAAGGCGGCUCUCUGGACUGUAACUGACGCUCAGGCACGAAAGCGUGGGGAGCGAACAGGAUUAGAUACCCGGGUAGUC